CACGGGGGGAGCAAGCGUUGUUCGGAAUCACUGGGCGUAAAGGGCGUGUAGGCGGUCAGGUAAGUGAGAUGUGAAAUGCCCCGGCUCACCCGGGGACCGGCAUCUCAUACUGCUUGGCUUGAGUACGGGAGAGGAUGUGGGAAUUCCACGUGUAGCAGUGAAAUGCGUAGAGAUGUGGAGGAACACCGAUGGCGAAGGCAGCCCCCUGGGCUAACACUGACGCUCAGGCACGAAAGCGUGGGGAGCAAACAGG
rnacentral:rRNA from 1 species